CUCCAUCCACCCUGGACCCAAGACCAGGAUCCAGCUCCCAGUGGGUAGACCUCUCCUCCUCCAGAGAGCGUAGCAGGAACAGCUCUUAGAAGACCUAGUGAUUAUACUUAGUGGAGUAUAGUGAUUAAUCCCCAGAGUGUAGUUCCCCAAUCCCCCAAACACGAGCCAAGACCUAAUGAAGGGGUGAAGCAGGUAUGUUUAAUGCAAG